rnacentral:misc_RNA from 1 species
AAGAAACAGUAGAACAGAAAACUCGUCUUCCAAGCACCACAAGGAAAACCUGCGAGAUGGCAUGGCAGUAGAAGAGGGCUCUGACGCAUCUGCCGCCGCGGCACUUGCUGGACAUUCUCACCAGGAUUAUCCCCAGAGGCAUCAAGAACCCAAACGAAGACCAGUGGAACAGCGCGUGCAGCCUGAGCUGGAACGACACUCCCGGUGUCACCUGGAAGAAAAAAGGCAAGCAACCUGUGCGCUCAGUAAAAACGGAAGGUUUGUUUGUGUUUCCCAGCCAGCAUAUGGCUCAGUCAGAAUCAGAACCAGAAAUCCGAGUGUUACUGGAAGACCUAAAGACGGAGGCUGGAAACGGAGCUCUGCUUAAUUUACCUCCAGAGGAUGGCUGCUGGUCCUGUUGCGGCUCUCGCCGAGAUUAUUCCCCGUGGAGUUCGAUGCGCCAUUGGAUGGCCCGAGGAGUGAAAGAAGCACGAGGCUUGCGCACACAAGGAGGAGCCUUCUUCUCCCUAGCAGCAUCUGUGCUAACCAAUUCUCGACCACCCCUCCUCAGAAGUAAGGCACAGAUACGAACCCUUGUUGCGUGUACUAAACAAUGGCAGGAGUAGAGGAGGAGCAGCAGCAGCAAGCUGGACCUGUAUGGCUGUAUCUCUGCCCUGUAUACUCUCCACUCAUGCCCACCUCAAAAAUCCAGGGGCAUCUUUUUUUUCUUCCAAACUUCUGAAAUGCUCAGGCCUUUUACCUCGCAAAACGCUCUACUAGACCAGCAGGGAAACUAAACGAAACCAAUCCGAAAAUGAAUAAAAAGCAGCACAAAAGCAGCUUGGAUGGGGCACAGCCGCACAAGAUUGCCCUGAAGCUUGUGGAAGGUUUUGGUAUGGUAUGAUGAUCAUGGAAG